GACGAACGCUGGCGGCGUGCCUAAUACAUGCAAGUUGAGCGAUGAAGAUUUGUGCUUGCACCCAUUUGAAGAGCAGCGAACGUGGGAGUAACGCGUUGGGAAUCUGCUUUUCAGUGGGGGACAACGUUUGAAAACGAAUGCUAAUACCGCAUAACAUCUUUAAACAUAAGUUUUAAGUUAGAAAGAUGCAUUUGCAUCACUCAAAGAUGAUUCCGCGUUGUAUUAGCCUGUUGGUGAGGUAAAGGCUCACCAAGGCGAUGAUACAUAGCCUACCUGAGAGGGUGACAGGCGCCAUUCUGACUGAGACACCGCCCACACUCCUACGGGGAGAAGCAGUAGAGACUCUUCGGAGAUGGACGAGAGUCUGACCGAGCAACGCCGCGAGAGUGAAGACGGUUUUCGGAUCGUAAAACACUGUUGGUAGAGAAGAAAGUUGGUGAGAGUGGAAAGCUCAUCAAGUGACGGUAACUACACAGAAAGGGACGGCUAACUACGUG
rnacentral:rRNA from 1 species